AAUUUGCUAUUCGGUGACAUAAGAGGGGGAGUGCGCUUUGCUUUCCCGGGGUCUGGGGCUAAUUCCUUCUUUCUUACCCAUAAACUCAGCAGAUCGAGCUAAAUGCACAAAAGGGAGCGAGAGGUUUGAACCACUGGGAAAAGUAUGUUAUAUAUAUAGUAGGGUUAGAGAGGCGAGUAAGAGAAAAAUAAAAUAAAAUAAACAUCACAGCUCUUUCCAACUAGAAUAUUAGGCACCACGAGAAAAAUAUUUGCCAAGCAGUUUUCGGUGGGUUCAUUUGCUUUAUUUUUAUUUAGGACAGGGGUUUUUGCUGUUGUUCUGGGUUUUUUUCUUUCUGGUGUGGUGGCUUGGGAUUUUUGGUUUCUGUAUUUUGAUGGUUUAUGGAUUUUUGCUUCUGAUUUUUUGCCUUUUGCAAGUUUGUGGUGUUACGUAAAUCACAGGAUCGGCAUCGGUUGGAUUUUUUUGUACGUGCCUUUUCUUUCCCUAUCUAAUCCCUCAAGCGUUUUAAAGAUGUAUUAUUUCAAUACUAAUACUAUUGAAAGAAGCUUAAAUUUUUGGCCAUAUGUAACAAUCCCAGCCCCCACUUUUUUUUUUUUUUUUUCCUUUGGUGCAAUUUUCUUUUUCCCCCUUGGACUUUUGCUGAAGUGUGUCUCUCCUGCACUUCAGAGAAAUGUUCAAAGGAUUUGUUUUGGUUUGGUUUGUUUCUUUCCAGGACAGCAAGUGGUGGGUUUAAUCUGUUAUUGUUGACUCUUGGGAAAUUUCUUGUUGCAAGAAACGUGUGUGUGGGGGGGAGGGUGGGGGUGGCGGGGUGGUAUGUGUGUGUUUUCUACAAAAUUCUGUGAGCCAAAUACCUGUUUGUGUUUUGUUUUCUCUUAAGGUCUUGAGAUUUUUGUUUUCGAGGCUCGUUUCAAGGUCGUUGUAAAAAAAUCUCUUCAGUCUGUGUUUAAGAGAUCAGCCGGAGGGAAUUCUAAAGGCCUGCCGUGCCAGUAUCACAGAUACUGCCUGUAUUUAGAACAGACUGCCACAACUACAAUGCACUACACGCAGCACAGUCUUCUUAGCUUUGAAGCUGAGUUGGGGGGUGGGGUGGGGGGGGGGUAGAGAAGAAGGAGAAAUUCUUUCCUUCUCUUUUUCUCUAUUACUUUCUUUUUAAAGGCAAUUGCAGUGCAGAAUCAUUUCAUUGUGGGUCCUAGUUUGUUUGUUCAGAGCUGCUAGUUUCCUUAUUUAAAUGUUGGUUCGGGUUUUUUCCCCUCCUACUCAUCCCUGAAUAAGGGAGACUCUUGUUUCUUUUAUGUCUCUCUCUUAAAAGAAGGGUGUGAGGGGAAAAUAAUAUUUCAGAUUCCUCAAGAAUUAGCCCAAAAUGUUUGGACCAGAAGCAGCUUUCAAAGGUCAGGCUGUUCUGAGCCUUGGCUAUGAGAGUCCUUCAAGCGACUUAUUAAAUUACAGAUGAAUUCUUAAAGCUUCCACAAAAUCUCGUCACUUGUUAAUUUCUAAUAAAGAUAUGUCUAAAAUAAUCUACCUAUCUCAACCCAAAAUUUGGGUUUAUAAUGGAGGAGUGAUCAGAGCUGUGAAAGAUUGCUGUUUGCUGGGAUAUUUGGAAAAUCUCUUUCAUUGACAGUCCCGUAAGAAGUUCCAUCUAUCACCGAAAAUGUUGUUGGCAAUGCACCCCCCUACCCCACAACACACACACAUUUUUAAAGGCUGUAUUUUAGGUUUUAAAACCCAGAAAGGUGCAAAGAGGUUGAUUAUUUUCCACAAGGGCUGGAGCUUAGGAAAUAUGCGUUAAAGUGUCUGUCCCUGUGAAAUCUGAAUAUUUUAAUACUUAUUGACAGAUGGAUUACUGCAGCCUCUGCAGAAAAGCCUGUCUUGUGAACGGUUUUUGAAAAAUAUACAUAGGCCUAAUCCUGUCACUGUUGUUGAAAUGUACGUUUUACCCCCAAAGACACAUGAUAUUGUCAAGUUCAGAUUUAUUCUGCCAGAAGGCAGACUAUCUGCUUUUUCAUUUGAGUCCCCUUCCUUCUCAUUUUCAAAGAAAUUAAAAUGAAUCCCGCUGGAUGCAAAAUGACACCCCGAUUUUGUGGAAGGGAUUUUCUUUGUGUGUUUAUAUGUGUAAUUUUUUCUUUUAUGAGCAAUUAGCACUUUAGGAUUUCUCAGACGUAUCUAUAUGGUUUGGAAUGUGAAUUGUAUGGCUCUGCCUUACUAUUGGGCCCUCAAAAGAUUAUUUUUAUGAUUUUUGGUCACUUUUUUCUUUGUCAAAACUGCCAUUCAGCCUCAUCCACCGCCCCCCUCAACCUGAAACACAGCUUGUCCCUCCUGUGUUCCCUUUGCCACUCCACUCUUAGCCCCAUGGGGGCGCUGCAGAGCAAAGGGAAAUCUGCUCUCUAAGGCAGUAGUAGAACCAGCCAGAGUGGGGGCUGGGAAGGAAUUCACCCUUCUCAUACCUCAGCCCUCUUUAAUUCUCUGCAGUGAGCCCCUAGAGGGAGAACCCACCAGGGCUGGUUCAUAUAUAAUUAACCUCAUCACCAGGGACCUCAAAUCUUCCCAGCAUAUUAUUUCUGGGACCAAGUGCCAGAGUGCCACAUUUUCCUACUGCUUUUUGCCAAAUCAAUGUGUUUACACUGAAAGAAAUUGACCAGAACAGAAGACCAGUUAGAAAGAAAGAGAAAAUCAUUAUUGAAAAUUUUCUAAAGAUAGGCACUUACUUUUCGGUGAGUCUCUUUUACUUUGAACUGAAUGAAUGGUGAGGAAAAUUGUGCACCCGCCUCUCAAUCUCUUUUCAAUUCCUAGGAAAGUAACUUUGUCAAAUAUUAUACCAGUUGAAUUUCUUCCAGAAUGUCAUUUCUUCUUUCAUUCUUGACCUCUCCUCAGUAUCCAGUUGGCAUCACUAUGUGGGCCUCCCUCACUCCCGCAGUGCCGUGUUACAGGAUUAAAGAAAGGGCUGACUUGAACGUAUUCUGAUUCUUUUAAAUCAUCCUUAAGAAGCUCUAAAGAGUGAUUCCAUGUCUGGGGUCGUAUGAAUAAUUCCUGCAGACUUCGGGGCACUACAUUUCAACUAGUCCCAUGAUUUAAUGGUUACUGGCUGCUAAUACUCAGUAGAGGACCAGGCCAACCUCUUUGCCUCAUGGACUGGGCAUAAGAAUAGGUCCCUGAUCAUUGCUGCUGGGUAAAUAUAAGCUUUAUUACAAAAUAAAAUAGCCUGGUCCUAAUAUUACAUCUAUUUGAGGAAAAGAACAGACUUCACAUCCAAUUCCCCCUUGCAAAACCUUCCCCACAAUUCAGUCAUAGCUGAAAAAGAACCUAUCCUUGGAAUAAACACGGUUCUGUCCUCUUUCUAAGGGGGCUCACAAGAGGAAGUUGGUUUCACCUGUCAGGAACCUCUGGCACCUUGGUAGGUCUUUAAGAUACCACAUCAUAGGACUAAAGAUUUUAAAACUGGGAAGACUUUUUCAAAUCAAUCACCUUCUCUAGGCUUUCUUCUUUCAGGAUUAUAGGCUGGGUCUUCACUAGGAGCAUGUGUGACCCCAGGAACACAACUGAAAAUGGGUCUGCAUGAUUUGCUGGCCCUCUGUCAUUUUAGAGGAUCAGUGUAAUCUGACAACUUGAGUCUGUAGGUGUAUAUCUUGUGUCCUUGUAGAACUGAGGGAAGCAAGGCUGCCAUGGUCUCUUUGUAAACUGCAAAACUCAGAGCGAACUCCAAGUCAUGAUGAGUUUUGAUGGUCAUUUGGGUUUAUUUAUGCCUCUCAGCUACAUUGAAGUACUUGGCACUGCUUUUGAUAGAUUUGGGAGACACUAUCUAUCAGACUUGUUAAAUUUUACCUGUUCGUUUUAUUUCAAAUCCUUCAUUUAGAACUGUUGUAAACAAGCUUUUUGUAGUAUCCUUGGAGAAAGAAAGGCGUUUUUAACAUAGCAAGAUGAGCAGAAAGUUUUGAGACAUUAAAAAAGUGUAUAAUUUCCAGCUACUGCCUUCUGAAAAGGAAGUAUCAGUGUUUAAUUUUCAUCCAUAUGCUGCCUGCUUUUAGCCUUUAUUGUUCUGAGAUUUUUUUUUCCUUUAGAAACCUUUUCAGCCUGGCUCAGAGUUUACCCCCAAACACUAAUUUUCCACACUUUUCUCACUUAUUUAAAAUGGGAAUAAAUAUCAGAAGCUUAAAAUAGAGAAGUGAUGGGGGUUAGGGGGUGUGUAAUGAUUUGUUUAUUGCGUUCGAUCGCUGUUUUGAAUAGCAGAGUUUUCACUUCCUAUGAAACCUUAGCAUGAAGGAAAGCAGCAGCUGGACUCUGAGAGGGAUGAGGGAAGGAAAGCACUUGAGUGUUUGUAAACUCAGGGUGGCUGGUCCACCCGCUGCCGUUGCCGGGCUGCUGGCUGCUGUACUUAGCUGUCUCUACUACCUAAGGCUAGAAGUGGAAAAACUUGAUUUGCGUGUUGUGCCUGCAUUUUUUUUUUCUUCUCCCCACCGCCCUCUUGUACACCUGACCAUGCAGAAGCCUAUCUGAAGCCAGCUCGAUGGCAGGGAGAGCUGGAGAGCGGAAGAAUGUGCGGAGGGAGGGAGGGCUCGGUACUUUUCCAUUCACAUCUCCACAGUGGCUUUUCUUGUUUAUUUCAACCUCCACCGGCAGAAACCUUUCAGCUGCCUGAAAUUCAAGUCAUUAUACUGUUACCUGAGGUCAGAAGACAGACACUUUGGUGCACGUUUCCUACAUGUCAGUGUCUGUGUAACUUAUGUACGUACAGAGACACAGACACACAAAUGUGACUCCACGGGGGCACAGUGUAGGGAGAAAAAAAAAAACACUGUAUUUGUUGCAAACACACACACACACACACACACACACACGCGCGCACACACACACAAACCCUUGGUUUCUAAUUACAGCUGUGCCUGAAACUCUUUAUGGGACAUUGAGCAAAGCCACUUGUGAGGACUCCGUUUCCUCAGCUGUGUGAAGGAAUAGCCCCGAUGAUUUGAGGGAUGCCGGUCUGCGCUUAGUUCUGUACCUUUACAUUUCAAAACAUAUUUACAGAACUGUGCGAGAGGAGUGGAAAGGAGCUGUGUGUAUAUGUGUACC
rnacentral:lncRNA from 1 species